UGGGGAAUCUUGGACAAUGGGCGCAAGCCUGAUCCAGCCAUGCCGCGUGAGUGACGAAGGCCUUAGGGUUGUAAAGCUCUUUUGGCGGGGACGAUAAUGACGGUACCCGCAGAAUAAGCCCCGGCUAACUUCGUGCCAGCAGCCGCGGUAAUACGAAGGGGGCUAGCGUUGUUCGGAAUUACUGGGCGUAAAGCGCACGUAGGCGGAUUUGUCAGUCAGGGGUGAAAUCCCGAGGCUCAACCUCGGAACUGCCUCCGAUACAGCAAGUCUCGAGUCCGGAAGAGGUGAGUGGAAUUCCUAGUGUAGAGGUGAAAUUCGUAGAUAUUAGGAAGAACACCAGUGGCGAAGGCGGCUCACUGGUCCGGUACUGACGCUGGGGUGCGAAAGCGUGGGGAGCAAACAGGAUUAGAUACCCCCGUAGUCCCUGAGCGGGCUGGCAAGGCGCAU
rnacentral:rRNA from 1 species